UGACUGCGGGGUUUGGUUUGGCGACUGUAAUUAUUUUCUGUGUCCUGAUCUUCAUUAUACUGAAGCACAGAAAAGUUAACACAGGUGCUGUAGCAGAAGAUACUGAGGCUGCUGAAUCUGACUUUGUGAAUUAUGCUGCAUUACAGUUUUCUAAAAUAAAAACUGGGCGAAUCGAGAG